rnacentral:rRNA from 1 species
UACAGAGGCCCCAAGCGUUAGGCGGAAUCACUGGGCUUAAAGCGUGCGUAGGCGGCUCUUCAAGUGCUUUGUGAAAGCCCUCGGCUCAACCGAGGAAUUGCUUGGCAUACUGGGGAGCUUGAAUCAUCUAGGGGCAGCUGGAACUGACGGUGGAGCGGUGAAAUGCGUAGAUAUCGUCAGGAACGCCAACGGCGAAAGCAGGCUGCUGGGGAUGCAUUGACGCUGAGGCGCGAUAGCGUGGGGAGCAAACGGG